rnacentral:rRNA from 1 species
GUACGUAGGGCGCAAGCGUUAUCCGGAAUUAUUGGGCGUAAAGAGCUCGUAGGCGGUUUGUCGCGUCUGCCGUGAAAGUCCGGGGCUCAACUCCGGAUCUGCGGUGGGUACGGGCAGACUAGAGGUGAUGUAGGGGAGACUGGAAUUCCUGGUGUAGCGGUGAAAAUGCGCAGAUAUCAGGAGGAACACCGGUGGCGAAGGCGGCUACCUGGCCUAAGACUGACGCUGAGGUGCGAAAGACGGUGGGGAGCGAACGGG